UCCUACGGGGCGCAGCAGUAGGGAAUUUUCGUCAAUGGGCGCAAGUCUGACCGAGCAACGCCGCGUGAAUGAAGAAGGUUUUCGGAUCGUAAAGCUCUGUUGUUAGGGAAGAACAACGGUGAGAGGAACUGUUCACCGCUUGACGUUAUCUAUCGAGAAAGCCACGGCUAACUACGUGCCAGCAGCCGCGGUAAUACGUAGGUGGCAAGCGUUAUCCGGAUUGAUUGGGCGUAAAGCGAGCGCAGGCGGCUUCUUAAGUCUGGUGUGAAAGCCACCGGCUCAACCGGGAAAGGGCCUGGGAACUG
rnacentral:rRNA from 1 species